UAACUCAGAAAUAUUGUUGAAUUGAAUAAGGGUGUCUAGACAUAUUUCCAUUCAAAUCUAUCCUGAUUCAGGAUGAGAUAUAUUACACUGAUGAAUGCUUGGACAACCACAGAACAGCAGAAUCAUGACAGAGUGAUUCCAAUCAUUCCUCUCAACUAGUUUCUGUCAGUGAACACACAUCACUUCUCUCAGGCACUGAGAAUACCAGUAAGUGCUGUCCUGUGAGACAACUCUGGAUCCGUGAUUUCCCUCAGAGUUGAAGAAUCUACGUGGAGAUUAUAUUGAAAGGUUAAUUUUUAGUCAAUCCUAGCAUUAACAACAUAUGCUUGGCAAAAGGGCUAUAAAAAAAAAAGUAAAAACAAGAAAAAAGGAAUUAUGUGUAAGGAUGGGAAGAGUAAUAUGAUGGCAACAUGCAACACUCAAACAAAGAAAAGCUUUACCAAAGUGGGACAUCAGCCACUCAGUGUAAGACAACCUCUAGGAAUGGGUAACGAUUGGGUUUCCACAAGGUGGACUUCUCUGAUGAGGAUUCCUAACCUGGUAUCUUAGAACUUGAAGACACUGUGCUCAAAUCAGAACUCUAGCAGUUAUCCACCAGGAGAAAAAGUUGCAGCCUGGGGAUGGUGGAGUGAUAAAACAGUCAUCCCUGAGGACCGUAAAGCCAAAGCCACCUGCGAGAACUGACAAAAUUGGCCAUGCCUAGUCUUUAAGGUUCAGAUGUCCUACAACAAGUGAAAAGAUAACAGAUUUUGUAAUAUUCAUACAAAGGAAUACUGGUUAACAAUAAAAGAGAACGAGCUAUCGACGUGUGCAGUAACACAGGUGAAUCAAAUUGAUGCAACCAAGACACUAUGGAAAUAUCAAACCCUAGAGAACAGAGUGAGAGGGUAAGAAUGAGGAAGAAAAGAUUCCUAGAGGAAUUAUCAGGAAGCUGAGAUGUGCAUGGCUGCUUCUUAGAUGAGUCAUCACCAAACUGUGUUGUCCUGUGGUAAGGAAGAAGCCUAUGUCAGGAAAUCUGGGACAUUCAAUGACACUCUUGCAUGUCUAUGGCUGCUUUAUGAUCAGUUUCAUCAAUUAUGAAGGAAAUGUCAGCUGGGACCCAGAGGAGGAGCCAUCUCAAGGUCAUUGAACAAGUGUGGUUCCGCCUUGUCCUUAAUUGUUUUUCUACAUCAAACCAUCUUUUCAAAAAGUGACUUGAUUCUAAAGUUGAAAAUAAAAAUGUUAAAUAAAACCUUCUCCUAAUUUAGCAGAAAAAUGUUGUACCCAGAAAGUUCCUUUUGUAUUUAUUCCACUAUUUUAUCAGACAUGUUGAAAGACCAGAUAGCUGGGUUUUUUAGCGGGGGAGAAUUAGAGAAACGGCAUAUUUGUCACCUUCCUAGUUACAUACAGUUUGCAGAUUGGUUGCCAACAUUUUAAAUCUUCCCCAAAUUACUUAAUAGUAAAGAAGGAAUUUUAUCGAAUAUUAGGACAUGGCAGCAUCUGUAGACACAGUGUUGUUGUUGUUUUUUUUUUUUUUUUCUGUUCAGGACAUAGUGAUUCAGUUUGUUUCCCAUAUAUACAUGAAAUAACGGAUCACAUAGGUGGGAACUUAACCCAGAAGUGCUAUAAGAAAAUACACUGUCAACUAAUAGAAAAUAUGUCUGCAAUCCUUGAAGGAUGUGAUGACAGACUGGAAGCAUUUCUGUGGACAUAGCAGUAUCUAUUUAUUCUAUUUUAAUAAUAGAACAGGGUCUUUUGGCUUAGAGUACACUUUAAGAGGUAAGGAGAGAAUAUAUUUUGGAAAGAGAAUGGAUGUGAAUGUUUUCAGAGAACAUGAAGAAAGAGAAAAUGACUCGCAAUGUGACAAAGCAGGUAUGGGAGAAUUUUAGACAGUAUCAACCAAAGGUUAGCGUCUCUCAAAGUCUUUCUACCGGGACACAGAUCCAAAUACAUGUUUUAUGUUGUAAUUUUGAGUUUGAUGAAGGUCAGAGCUAUGUUGUAGCCAUGGUCUACAAUGCUAAAAUGACAUCUCUAUUAUUUUCAUCCUCAUGUUACCUUUGAAAAAUAUUCUUGCAAAUACCUAAAAGUCAUACAUGUCAUCUACAUUUUUUUCAUUUUUAAAUACUUAUUUCUCCCUAACAUUUUAGGCAUUCUGGUCUCCUGCUCCUUAUGCCAUUCUGAGACUCCCCACACCAGAACCAAUUUUUGGUUUUACUUUAUUUCCUCUGAUGGGAAUAUUUUUAUGCAUUUUUUAUGUUGGAAAUUGUAAUUCAUUUUCACUUCCAUUAACGAUUUUCAGAGAAUUAAUUUAGGGUCUGUUCCUAGGUGGGACUUUCAACUGGUCUUUGCAGUUAAUUUGAGUUAUUUUUUUUUCUUGCAAAAUUGGGAUUUCCCUUUUAAAAGAUAAAAUGUAGUAACAGAACUGGGGGGAAAGCGAGUUUCACUGAAGAUGUGUUCCUGUUUGUGCAUACACUUCAGGACAGUAUUUCAAAUAUUGCAUUUCUAAGCAUAUUUCAUAUUUUUAAGGAAUUGUUCUUUCUAAUAAAUAAAAGAUUAAUUCAUUUAAUUUUACUGUUGUAUGUACAUGUUUCGGAACCAGUUUUUUUGUCAUUCUAAAUCUUUCUGCUUUCCAACAAAUUACAUGCCAUGGAGUAUAAUUUCUGUUUCUGCCGUAUACCACAUCAUCCCACACUGACAUAUCACUGCAAUGAAAGGUAAACCUUACAAAAGCAUGCUAAUUUAAAGAUGCAAUGAAUGUUUUAUAGACUCUUAAGUGUUUUCUGUUCUGGUUUUCAUAUAAAAAUUAUAUAAAUGAAGGAAAUAAUUUUUGAAUACUUGGCUUACAAUUUUUAUCUUUAUGUGUAUAAAUGUUCCUUUUUUAUUUUUUCUUUCAGUGGUUAGAGAAUAACUUCUCCAAAUGCACAACCUUAUUAUUCUUAUUUACUUAUUAUUUACUAUUUACUAUUAUUAUUAUUUAUUAUUAUUAUAGUAAAAAAGAUAUGCUUAAAAUACAACAUGAUUAUUACAUAGUUUGAUCUCCAUGAUAAAUAUGCAGCAGGUAAUUAAGUAUAAUAAAAAUAAUUUUGGAGAAUUUUAAAAGGCAAUUUCCAUACAAAUUUGAUGGUCCAUUUAAUUUAAGGAGCUGUGGGUUAUGAGAAGUUCCAUCAUGUAUGACACAGGGCCAUAGAAUAUUGACCAGUUUGAACAAUAAUAAUGGUAAAAGGUGAAAGAAUUUGAUUCCGAAGAAAGAGUGGCCAUAAUAAUAGUAUCAGGAUGAGUAAAUUCAAACCAAGUUAUUUUCUUAAAUCUUACCUACAAUUCAUUUUUUUAAAAGUUUAUUUAUUUAAGUAAUCUCUGUGCUCACCAUGGUGCUUGAACUCAUGACCCUGAGGUCAAAAGCUGCACGUUCUACCAACUGAGGCACUCACGAGCCCCUACAAUUCAUUUUUAAAUUCAUUUAUUUAACAAUCAUUAUUGAACCCCUGCUAGGUUUUAAACACUGUGCUAAGAGACAAAGUGCUAACUAGAACAAACACAUUAUCUGCCCUCAUAGAACUUAUAACCUGGACUACUAUAAUUUCUGAGCCAUGAUAUUUCUGGACUUCCUAAAUACCUAUAAAUUCACUGUGCUAGAGUGCAUCAGGGAAAUAAAAAUGUUCCUGGGACAAUUUAAUUAAAGCUGGGAAAGUAGAGAGCCAAGAUUUAUGAGCAGAAACACAAUGUGCCAAUGCAUAUUCUGGAAGACUCCGUAAGUCUAAAAUCAGCCAUCUCUGGGACAAGCAAACGCAGAGUAAUUUCCACAGGACCUAUGUGUUAGGAGCUUCUGAUAUUAUCUUAAAACAACAGUCAUAAUUUGAAGAGGCAGCUGAAAGAAAAGAGAGUAGUUGAAUAAUCUGACAUAAAAAAAAAAGGAAAGAACAACAAGAAUAAAGCUCUAAAACUUGUAGACAACCAGUUCAUAACUAUCCAUUUCACUCCUUUAUGCAUGUGCAUCAGAAAGAGUAUAACACUACUAGGUAUUUACCCAAGGGAUACAGGCGUGCUGUUUCGAAGGGGUACAUGCACCCCAAUGUUUAUAGCAAUGCUACUGACAGUAGCCAAAGUAUGGAAAGAACCCAAAUGUCCAUCGAUGGAUGAAUGGAUAAAGAAGAUGUGGUAUGUAUACAUAAUGGAGUAAUACUCAGCAAUCAAAAAGAAUGAAAUCUUGCUAUUUGCAACUAUGUGGAUGUAAUUAGAAGGUAUGACGCUAAGCAAAAUUAGUCAGAGAAAAUUAGGUAUCAUAUGAUUUCACUCAUGUGAGGAAUUUAAGAUAUAAAACAGAUGAACAUAAGGGAAGGGAAGCAAAAAUAAUAUAAAAACUGGGAGGGGGACAAAACAUAACAGACACUUAAAUAUAGAGAACAGAGGGUUGCUGGAGGGGUUGUGGGAGGGGGGAUGGGCUAAGUGGGUAAGGGGAAUAAAAGAAUCUACUCCUGAAACCAUCGUUGCACUAUAUGUGAAUUAACUUGGAUGUAAAUUAAAAAAAAUUUAAAUAAAAAAAAAAAAGAAGAUGAACUUGGGAAAAAAAAGAAAGAGUGUAACAGUUCAGAGAUGCUCUUUUACAAUGAUUUAACUUUGUUGUUGUAAUCGUUUAGAAUGAUGCUUUGGCCAUAGUAGCCAAAAUCAAACACAAGAAAUGUGACUGACUCAGAGUAGUGGUUCUUAACUGGAUGUACAAUUCCUUAGAGGUCCUUUGAGAAGUGUGUUAGGACAUUUUGAUGUUACGGUAAGUGGAAAGACACUGCUAUCAUUUGGUAGGUAAUUGUCAGGGAUGCCAGAUGCUCUGGAUAUGUAUGGAAAAGUCCUGUAAAAUGACUGGUUGAAUGUCCCUGUCUGACUUUCUUUAAUGCCCUCUGAGUAUCCAUGUAUGUGAAAGACCUGUUUAUAAAUAACCAAGCCUGGUAAAAUCAAGUGUUUUUAUGAAUAGUUUUUGUCACAGAUUUUUCCAGUAUUGCAAGUGUUGUUUAAACUGAGGAAAGAUUGUACUUUGUUUUGCUAAGAAUUAUGCCAAGAGUGAUUCACUGUUUCUCAAAAUCACAUCACUUAUGGCAUUGUGUUUCUCUGGUUUUUGAGGCAACAAUACAACAAAAUGAAUUGAUUUGGAUUUUCAUCUGUAGCAUUUGAAGUGAUGAGAACUAUAGGAAGGAGCAUUUACUUAUUCUAUUGUGGUUGC